UUUUCUUUUGUUUUUGAAGCAGACUCCAAGAAGAAUUAGAAAAUGAGUUAAAACCGACUGAAGUAUGUUUUCAUCUCUCUUCCGAAAAUCCGAAGGAAUUUUGUUCAAGAGAGGCAAAGUUGAAUCAUCAAAAGCUUCUUCAUCUUCUUCUUCUUCUUCUUCUUCAAAAGCAAUAGUUUGCAUCAACUAGAAAACUACACAAGGUUAUGGCUGAUACAGGAAUGGAUCAUUACUAUCUAUCUUAACCUGUGUUUGCUGAACCAUGUAGUUUUGCUUAUAAUGGAACUGCAAGCGUAACAAGGGCAGCAACACAAAGGCUCUCAACUCAAUCAGACUACCCAAUUCAAGAUUUCUCAGUUCUCGGCAUCAAGUUAGGGGCUUUGUGUUGGUCUUUCGACAACAAUGGAUACUUCGAAUUUGAAAUGGCGUGGUUUAGGUUUAGAGGAUAAAAUAACAAGGGCAGUUCUUCUUGCAACAGAAGGCUAUGUUAAUGAAGCUAUUCAAGCUAUCAAAGGGGGAAAAGUCAUUGCUGUGCCUACUGAUACUCUUUAUGGAUUCGCUUGUGAUGCCUGUUCAGCAGAAGCAGUUCAUCAGAUUUAUGAGAUUAAAGGGCGUAAACAAACAAGUCCUUUAGCUAUUUGUGUUGGGGAUGUUAAAGACAUUGAGAGGUUUGCUGUUACAGAUCAUUUGCCUAGUGAUUUGCUUGAUAGCCUUCUCCCUGGACCUGUCACUGUUGUGCUAAUGCGAGGUGAGUCUAGUAUACUUGAGAAAUCCUUGAAUCCAGGAUUAGACAGCAUAGGAAUUCGUGUUCCACAUUCAGAAUUUAUUCGGAUGAUUGCACGUGGUUCUGGAAGUGCACUUGCCCUUACUAGCGCAAACUUAAGUGGGCAACCAAGCAGUGUAUGCAUCAAAGACUUUGAGAACCUAUGGGAGCACUGCAAGUAUGUCUUUGAUGGUGGUUUGCUUCCUGCAGGACGUGCCGGAUCGACCGUGGUUGACCUCACAAGGCAAGGAUAUUACAAAAUCCUAAGACCUGGAAGUCUGGUUAAUCAAUAUCGAGAGUGUGUUGGAGCGAAAUGAUAUGAUUAUCUCCUGUUUGACGACAUUGGGACAUACAGACAAGCAUAACAUAAUGCCAUGGAAGAGACAGUAGCAAUCCUUCAGAGACACUCCCUACGAGAGGACGAACGAUGAUGCAAAAACUCCACAAUGAGGGUGAUUGUCACAUUUUAAAGUAAUUUCUUCUUUUUAGACAAGUGGUGUAACAUCAUAUUGUCUGAGUAGGGGAAAUCCAUUUGUCAGAUUUCACUCCUCAAAGAAACCAAAUUGUAUCAAAUGAUAGCUACUGUUACUUUGUCUAUUGAGUUGGAUAAAUUCUAUAUGGUGAUAUAAACUGUUAGCAGGCA